rnacentral:tRNA from 1 species
AUUGUACAGAAGUAAAAAUUUACAAUUAAUUUCGGCUUAAUAAUUAAGAACUUAUUGAGUCUUCGUACAAUU